GACUUCUGGUCUAAUGCGCCUGGCCCGCGGUCGUAAGACAUGUGAGUGCCGGUGCGCGUUUACCAUCCUUCUAGAAAACGAGUUUGGACUCGGGAUCUAGAUCAUUUACUUUGAAAAAAUUAGAGUGUUUAAAGCAGGCUAUUGCUAUGAAUACAUUAGCAUGGAAUAAUAAUCUAGGACUUCGGUUCUAUUUUGUUGGUUUCUAUAGCUGAAGUAAUGAUUGAUAGGGAUAGUUGGGGGUGCUAGUAUUGGCCGGUCAGAGGUGAAAUUCUUGGAUUCGGUCAAGACUAACUUAUGCGAAAGCAUU
rnacentral:rRNA from 1 species